rnacentral:rRNA from 1 species
GACGAACCGUGCGAACGUUGUUCGGAAUCACUGGGCUUAAAGGGCGCGUAGGCGGCUGCACAAGUCCGGGGUGAAAGCCCCCAGCUCAACUGGGGAAGUGCCUUGGAUACUGUGUAGCUCGAGCGAGGCAGGGGUCGUGGGAACUUCCGGUGGAGCGGUGAAAUGCGUUGAUAUCGGAAGGAACGCCGGUGGCGAAAGCGCACGACUGGUCCUCUUCUGACGCUGAGGCGCGAAAGCCAGGGGGAGCAAACGGG